AUACGUAGGUGGCAAGCGUUGUCCGGAUUUACUGGGCGUAAAGAGUAUGUAGGCGGAUAUUUAAGACAGAUGUGAAAUUCCCGGGCUUAACCUGGGAGCUGCAUUUGAUACUGGAUAUCUAGAGUGCGGGAGAGGAAAGUGGAAUACCUAGUGUAGCGGUGAAAUGCGUAGAGAUUAGGAGGAACACCAGUGGCGAAGGCGGCCUGCUGGACGACAACUGACGCUGAUGCGCGAAAGCGUGGGGAGC
rnacentral:rRNA from 1 species